ACUGGAACUGUUUCCUGUCUGGCCAGCUCAGAGCUUGGGUUUCUCCUUAGAUAGCCAUGAUCUAAAUGCCAUCUGUCUCUAUGCAUCUCUCAUGUCUAGCUCACAAGAUGGUUAAGAGGGGUUUCUAGAGAGAACUAAUCACAAAGUUUAGAGCUUCUUAGAUUCAAGAGUGUGAUUUCUCCUGCUAAAUCUGCAAAGAUGCAGCUGUAAAGCAUUAAUGGAGUACAAAUUUGCACCCAUCAUCAGACCAGGAGUUUCUGUUUCUACUCUGCACUGCGUAAACUGCUAUUUGUUACAUCCAAGUCUGAAGUAACGCUGAGAAGCUUCACAUCUGACUUGACUUGAAAAUGCUUUUAGCUAUUCUGAAAGCAAAAUCUACCAGCCUCCUGAGAUCUGUGUUAGUGUAAACCAAAGGCCGUGGAUGCUGCUGCUGCAAGUGACAGAAACAAAAUAUGUUUCGUUUCUGGUAUGUUUCACUAUAACAACUCCUAAAUUCAGGAGAACUUUGAAGUACUUCAAGAAUUCCUUCCCAUAGUUAUCUCACAACAGAAUCUGAAAAAGAGAAAGACAAAGGAAAUGCUAAGAAUAUUGACAGCAAGAAGGGGAAUGGUGGGAACCUGUGACUCGAGUGAGCAAGGUAUACAGAGUGGAUGUUCGUGCUACAAUAGUGGAAGACGACUACCAGCAGCAUAACUGAUUGUCACUGCUAGGGCUUCACUGUGCUGUAAAAAGAGGUGCUCAAUCUUUUCAAAUGUCAGCAUGUUAAAUUGACAAUAUCCAGCAAUAUGCAAUUAAGGUUUUUGCGAAAUUUCCCCAGCAUGAUUUCAUCUACCAAUGGGGCUCCCUAAUUUUUUAAUGCUCAUCUGUAUUUGAUAAAUCAUGAAAUUCUGAAUUUAGGGGAAAAAAAUUACCAACACCUACCUUUUUCAGCCCAUCUCUAAUAUUCUCAAACACAGCCAGAAAGUAAGAACGUACCUGAAAUCUCUCAGGGAAACUGCUCCUUGAAAAUUCUACAAAAGGAUGCCACAGAGUACACAAAAUUACAAUCUGGCCACAGAUAGGGAAGUGUGUCUACGUAGUGAUCAAAAGCACUGUCACUGUGACAUGGAAUAAGGAACUAACUAUAUUCACAGCUUCCUCUGUGAUCGGAAUAUAUCAUAACCUUUCGAUUAUUUACCUUUGCGGUUCUCCUGGAAGGGCAGCAAUCUACAUUUUACAGAUGGGGAAACCAGACAGCGAUCGAGCUAAAGUCCUAAAUGAGUGCCCUUAGCACAGUGCCUUCUGAGCACUAAGGCUGCACCCUAAGCACUGAAGCAUCCAGCAUCCGACCUCAGUAUUAAUGGCCUGCUGAGUCUUUGUUCUGACUCCAUCAAUUCAAUGGCCAUUUAAUAAUGUUCUGUUUCUGUAACGUGGAUACAUGUCUACUGGGAACUGGACUGCAACCAAAUCAUCUUAUGCAGACCCUGCACAUCCAUCAACUACUCUAGGAGUGCCUCACUCUGACUAGCUAUAAACCAAAGAAAAAUUCUACAAUUAAGAAUAAUUCUAAUUAAGAUGAGUGACCAAAGUAUUGAAACCCGCCCACUUAAAUUAGGUUGAAAAAUUCACUUUGCACACCCCUCAGUUUUUUUUCUAUAAAAACUUUUGCUAUGCAUAACAAUGACUAAUUGUUACUGAAACCAACUGGAACUGUAUGUGCAGCCUGUUUUUAAAAAAUUAUCUCAGGUGCAUCUAUUCCAAAUGAAUGGGUCACUUGGCCUAUCAGUUAUGUGACCAUGGGGAAAAUGUACAUUUGGGCAUGUAUGGAGAUCUGGUGUGUGCAGGGAAGUGCUGAGGAAAUAGAGAGAAAGACAGGAGCCACUCUAAUUACAGCUCUUUAACUUUGUGUGUCUGAUGCACUUUGUAACACUACAUAGGACAGCUCCUCUCAGCACCUCAAGAUUAAUGAAUAACAGGAACAGUUUCCCACUUCCAACACGUUGUGUUAUAGAUCACAAUGUUGAGUCUGGGAAUGUCCCUAGAUAGGUAUGACAGGCUGCAUAUUUAGUUGCUCCUCUUGAUAGUUUUUGCAUCUUCGAGAGCAAAUAUAUUGUGCGUGGCAGGAGAAAAAUCAAGUCUUCUGGCAAGACAUGCCCAUUUCAUUCCAUCAAUGGAGGCAAUUUAAUCAAGAAUGUGGGCCAUUUGUUGCAAUAUACAUCUUCUCAGGGGCGCUUUCUGGAGUACAGUCCCAUUAAAUCUCUCUUUGAGUCCCUGCCUCUCUAACUUUGUGACUAUUCUCUUCUUGUGACCACAGUUUAGUGCAGAUAGAGAAGAGAGAGGAUAAAACUAGAGAAAAGCUGAAUCUAAAAGAAAAAAAAAAUCUGGAUAAGAUGAAGAAAAAUGU